rnacentral:lncRNA from 1 species
AACGUCAAACAUAUGCGCCAGCUACUAAUGGACAGGGGCUUUCCUGUUAUCCCCUGUCCCAGCCACAUCAUCCCCAUAAGGGUGGGUAAUGCGGCACUCAACAGCAAGAUCUGUGAUCUUCUGCUCGCCAAGCACAGCAUCUAUGUGCAGGCCAUCAACUACCCAACUGUGCCUCGUGGUGAGGAGCUGCUGCGCUUGGCCCCCUCCCCCCACCACAGCCCUCAGAUGAUGGAAAACUUUGUGGAGAAGUUGCUGCUGGCCUGGACUGAGGUGGGGUUGCCCCUCCAAGAUGUGUCUGUGGCUGCAUGCAACUUCUGCCGUCGUCCUGUGCACUUUGAGCUUAUGAGCGAGUGGGAGCGAUCCUACUUUGGGAACAUGGGACCCCAAUAUGUUACUACCUAUGCCUAAGGAGCCAGCUGCCUUAGAUGCCAACCCCACCUGCACUCCCCCUGGGGAUGGUCUUCCUCCUACUCUCUGCUUUGCUGUGUGCUUCUAGCUGACUUGAUUCUAAAAAUAAAGAGCAACCUGAAACAUUUGU